rnacentral:misc_RNA from 1 species
AAGUCGUAACAAGGUUUCCGUAGCUGAAUUUGCGGAAGGAUCAUUAACACGUAUCCAACGUUAAACUCCCUGUGAACCUUCAUUGUGCUCCCACGCUUUGUUAGAAAGUGGCAAUCCCUGCGCCGAACAGUUUUGUCUGCGAAGAGGGUGAAUGAGGCGAGGCAAUGGACCUGGCAUUCCUCUGCUUGUUGGUGUCUGAAAGUGUCACUAACUCUGUACGAAUGGCGCAGUCACGUUCGCUGGAGGCCGACACGGCCGGCGGCUGAGCUCUGCUCCCGAAAAAACCUUUGCAUGAAAACGGGCCUGCGCUUAAUUGUGCGGCCAAACUC